AUUGAACGCUGGCGGCAGGCCUAACACAUGCAAGUCGAGCGGAUGAAGGGAGCUUGCUCCUGGAUUCAGCGGCGGACGGGUGAGUAAUGCCUAGGAAUCUGCCUGGUAGUGGGGGAUAACGUCCGGAAACGGGCGCUAAUACCGCAUACGUCCUGAGGGAGAAAGUGGGGGAUCUUCGGACCUCACGCUAUCAGAUGAGCCUAGGUCGGAUUAGCUAGUUGGUGGGGUAAAGGCCUACCAAGGCGACGAUCCGUAACUGGUCUGAGAGGAUGAUCAGUCACACUGGAACUGAGACACGGUCCAGACUCCUACGGGAGGCAGCAGUGGGGAAUAUUGGACGAUGGGCGAAAGCCUGAUCCAGCCAUGCCGCGUGUGUGAAGAAGGUCUUCGGAUUGUAAAGCACUUUAAGUUGGGAGGAAGGGCAGUAAGUUAAUACCUGGCUGUUUUGACGUUACCAACAGAAUAAGCACCGGCUAACUUCGUG
rnacentral:rRNA from 1 species